rnacentral:misc_RNA from 1 species
AUUUUGUUAAUGCUUAGCCAGGAAUUUUUCUGUCUUUAGCUGGGAUUCCUUUAAAUUAACUGAAAACAGAUAUUUAGUCAAUUUAUCAGUUUUUAUAGUAUGAUUAAAGGCAGAAUCGAAGUUUUAUUUCAUACAAAAUUCAUAGACAAAUGAUAUAUUUCAAGGUUGUGGGACGAUAGUACUCAUAAAAAGACCGUUUAGCAUGAUGAAGA